UGCAAGUCGAACGGCAGCGCGGGGCAACCUGGCGGCGAGUGGCGAACGGGUGAGUAAUACAUCGGAACGUACCCAGAAGUGGGGGAUAACGUAGCGAAAGUUACGCUAAUACCGCAUACGUUCUACGGAAGAAAGUGGGGGACCUUCGGGCCUCAUGCUUUUGGAGCGGCCGAUGUCUGAUUAGCUAGUUGGUGAGGUAAAGGCUCACCAAGGCGACGAUCAGUAGCUGGUCUGAGAGGACGACCAGCCACACUGGGACUGAGACACGGCCCAGACUCCUACGGGAGGCAGCAGUGGGGAAUUUUGGACAAUGGGCGCAAGCCUGAUCCAGCAAUGCCGCGUGAGUGAAGAAGGCCUUCGGGUUGUAAAGCUCUUUUGUCAGGGAAGAAACGGCCGAGGCUAAUACCUUUGGCUAAUGACGGUACCUGAAGAAUAAGCACCGGCUAACUACGUGCCAGCAGCCGCGGUAAUACGUAGGGUGCAAGCGUUAAUCGGAAUUACUGGGCGUAAAGCGUGCGCAGGCGGUUUUGUAAGUCUGACGUGAAAUCCCCGGGCUCAACCUGGGAAUUGCGUUGGAGACUGCAAGGCUGGAGUCUGGCAGAGGGGGGUAGAAUUCCACGUGUAGCAGUGAAAUGCGUAGAGAUGUGGAGGAACACCGAUGGCGAAGGCAGCCCCCUGGGUCAAGACUGACGCUCAUGCACGAAAGCGUGGGGAGCAACAGGAUUAGAUACCCUGGUAGUCCACGCCCUAAACGAUGUCUACUAGUUGUCGGGUCUUAAUUGACUUGGUAACGCAGCUAACGCGUGAAGUAGACCGCCUGGGGAGUACGGUCGCAAGAUUAAAACUCAAAGGAAUUGACGGGGACCCGCACAAGC
rnacentral:rRNA from 1 species